CAAUGGAUCACCACGUUGCCGUCGUGUGGGGGCUUGCGUACUCCUGUGAUUCUAAGGUCGAGGUCAGCAAUGGUCUAACAAUGCUGAACCGGCCAAAGAAGAGGAGUCAGACUAAGAGUGAUCCAAACCCUGCACCUACUUAUUAUUACUUUAUGAUUUUGUAUCAUUCUGUAUUGUUCCAGAUAAAGCAGACGAGCUCCAGCUAGCUUCGUCGAAGGAUCGUACUACACACACUCUAAGACCGGUAUCAAAGGUUGCAGGUAUAUGUCGUUGAAUUGUACUGUUUUGUACGGGUAACGGUAAUUGACACGGGUAAGAUCGUAUGUCUACAGGUGUCAUACACAACAGCGACGGCAGCAGCAGCGCCAGCAUCAGAUGACAGACUCACACCGGAGAUGAUUGUGGAGCUAAUAUUGUGGAGCGUUGAGUGGAGACCCGCACUGAUGGCCUGUAGUUUGGUAAGAUAUGCAGCCUCACCUCGUGCAGAAGAGAGAGAAAGAGAGGACUACUGUACUACUGGACUCCCGAUCUAGUGUAAGUGGUGCUUCUUCUUGCUAGCGUUAUAUAAUAAACUACUACUACUAGAACACUAACAUUCUAACAUACUAACUACUAACUACUUUUACAUUCUACGUAUUGCUCCAUGUGAUUUGGCUUCGUUGUUUGCUGCUCUUCUGUUCAAUGUUUCCAGAGUGAUCGAGUCAUCCCAGUCAUCCUGGCCUUGCCCGGGCAAGGGGUGGUGGUGGGUCAAGUCAACGAGGUGGUGGGUGAGCGGGGUGAGUAUUAUACAUACUUGUAUUAUACAUAUUCUUACGCAUAUACAUUACGUAUAUAUUAUACAUACGUUUUCUGGGACAGGUACUACCACACAUUGUAAUGUUUUUGUUCAAUUUUUUUCCCUCGACAUGAGCGACACAUGGCACUACCACUCGGGGAGAUAGCAGAGGCAAGACAGAUGGGCGGAUAGACAAGCAGACGAGAUUCCAGCAUCCAUCCACUAUCGUCUGUCCUCGGGAGAGAACGGGUGAGUCGUAAACAACAUUGUACUGCCAUACAUGUAAUGUGCUUCGUUUAUUUUUUUCCAUGUUGUGCAUUGAGCCACACACGGCACUACCACUCGGGGAGAGAGCAGAGACAAGACGGAUGGGCGGAUAGACAAGCAGACGAUUUGUACACUUCAAUAUUGAUUCAUUGAUUUAUUGUGAACUUUAUUGAAUUCUGUAAACUUCAAUAUUAAUUCAUUGAUUUAUUGUGAACUUUAUUGAAUUCUUGUACACUUAAUUGUGAAUCUUGCAAAGUUGUGAAUAUAGGGCUAUUUAUUUAGCCACGUAAUGAUUUA